rnacentral:sRNA from 1 species
AGCUCCUCCUUGCUCUCGCCCCUACUCUUUCUGGUGUUAUAUCUAGCAACCCUCUAAAAGCAGUUUAGAGUGAUUGGUAAAAAACACACCAAACGCUCGCAGCCACAAAAAGGAUGAAAUUCCUCCUGGACGUCCUCUUGCUUCUCCCGCUACUGAUCGUCUGCUCCCUAGAGUCCUUCGUGAAGCUUUUUAUUCCUAAGAGGAGAAAAUCAGUCACCGGCGAAAUCGUGCUGAUAACAGGAGCUGGGCAUGGAAUUGGGAGACUGACUGCCUAUGAAUUUGCUAAACUUAAAAGCAAGCUGGUUCUCUGGGAUAUAAAUAAGAGUCUCCCACUGUCACCUGGGCGGGUGUGCGGUGGCAAAAUCUUGGCUUGCUGCAACUUCUGCCUCCUGGGUUCAAGUGAUUCUCCUGCCUCAGCCUCCCAAGUAGGUAGGAUUACAGCAUGGACUGGAGGAAACAGCUGCCAAAUGCAAGGGACUGGGUGCCAAGGUUCAUACCUUUGUGGUAGACUGCAGCAACCGAGAAGAUAUUUACAGCGCUGCAAAGAAGGUGAAGGCA